GCGGGCGUAGCUCAGGUGGCAGAGCGCCUGCCUUCCAAGCAGGGUGUCGCGAGUUCGAAUCUCGUCGCCCGCUCCU
rnacentral:tRNA from 1 species